AGAGUUUGAUCCUGGCUCAGAACGAACGCUGGCGGCGUACUUAACACAUGCAAGUCGGACGAGAAAGGAGACUUCGGUCUCUGAGUACAGUGGCGCACGGGUGCGUAACACGUAAGCAAUCUACCCCGAACCCCGGGAUAACCCUCCGAAAGGAGGGCUAAUACUGGAUAGGGUCCCCGAGGUGUAGGCCGCGGGGGGAAAACGGGCCUCUGUUUCAUGCUUGUGGUUUGGGAUGAGCUUGCGGCCCAUUAGCUAGUUGGUAAGGUAAUGGCCUACCAAGGCAACGAUGGGUAGCUGGUCUGAGAGGAUGAUCAGCCACACUGGCACUGAGACACGGGCCAGACUCCUACGGGAGGCAGCAGUGGGGAAUUUUGCGCAAUGGGCGAAAGCCUGACGCAGUAACGCCGCGUGGAGGAUGAAGGCCUUCGGGUUGUAAACUCCUGUCAGGAGGAACGACGGGGGAAGGGCGAUAAACUCUUCCCUCCAGACGGUACCUCCAAAGGAAGCCCCGGCUAAUUCCGUGCCAGCAGCCGCGGUAAUACGGAAGGGGCAAGCGUUGUUCGGAAUCAUUGGGCGUAAAGGGCGUGUAGGUGGUUCUGUAUGUCUACCGUGAAAGCGUACGGCUCAACCGUAUUUUGUCGGUGGAAACUGCAGGACUUGAGGCUGGGAGGGGCUGGUGGAAUUCCCUGUGUAGCGGUGAAAUGCGUAGAGAUGGGGGAGAACACUCGUGGCGAAGGCGGCCAGCUAGACCAGUUCUGACACUGAGGCGCGACAGCGUGGGGAGCAAACAGGAUUAGAUACCCCCGUAGUCC
rnacentral:rRNA from 1 species